rnacentral:rRNA from 1 species
UACGUAGGGUGCGAGCGUUAAUCGGAAUUACUGGGCGUAAAGGGUGCGCAGGCGGUUUUAUAAGUCCGAUGUGAAAUCCCCGGGCUCAACCUGGGAACUGCGUUUGUGACUGUAUGACUAGAGUACGGUAGAGAGGGGUGGAAUUCCUGGUGUAGCAGUGAAAUGCGUAGAUAUCAGGAGGAACAUCGAUGGCGAAGGCAGCCCCGUGGACCUGUACUGACGCUCAUGCACGAAAGCGUGGGGAGCAAACAGG